rnacentral:piRNA from 1 species
UCUUAUCGGUCUCCUCACACAAACGGCAAU